rnacentral:rRNA from 1 species
GCUUACGGCCAUACCACCCUGAACACGCCCGAUCUCAGAUCUAAGCAGGGUCGGGCCUGGUUAGUACUUGGAUGGGAGACCGCCUGGGAAUACCAGGUGCUGUAAGCU